rnacentral:rRNA from 1 species
GAAACUAAAUAGGAUUCCCUCAGUAAUGGCGAAUGAACAGGGAUAAGCUCAGCAUGGAAAUUGGGGCCUCCGGCCUUGAAUUGUAGUCUUGAGAUGUGUUACCAACGGAGGCGCAGAUGUAAGCCUCUUGGAAAAGAGCGUCAGGGAGGGUGAGAGUCCCGUAUGUCAUCUGCAGUUCUCUGUGCACGGUACAUUUUCUAAGAGUCACGUUCCUCGGGAUUGGAGCGCAAAUUGGGUGGUAAAUUUCAUCUAAAGCUAAAUAUUGGUUCGAGACCGAUAGCAAACAAGUACCAUGAGGGAAAGGUGAAAAGGACUUUGAAAAGAGAGUUAAAAGUGCCUGAAAUUGCUGAAAGGGAAGCGAAUGGAACCAGUUGUUCUUGGCGAGUAUUGGUGUUGUCUAAGGUGAUAGCUUGCCACUUCAACGCAAGUGUGGUGGCAGGUUUUGAUCUGGAUGCGAUACUGCUUCUCGCCUUGCGUGUCAACGUCAGUUCAUAAUUGAGGAAAACUCUAGGGACAUGGUAAUUUGCUUCCGGGCGACUGAAUGUCCCCAGUUGAACUCAUUUUUGAACUGCUCACUGUGUGUCUGGUCGCACUGCUCCCGUGUGCUUGCUUGCAAUCUUCUGCUUGGCAUGAAGGUGNUAAUGCCAGGAGCAUGUCCUUGACAUAAGAACGAUGACGAAAUGGUUUUAUUCGACCCGUCUUGAAACACGGACCAAGGAGUCUAACAUAUGUGCAAGUUCACGGGCGGGAAAACCUGCUUGCGCAAUGAAAGUGACUGCUGGGAUAUCUGCACCAGCAACCGACCAAUCAAUUGUGAGAGGUUUGAGUAUGAGCAUAUCUGUUAGGACCCGAAAGAUGGUGAACUAUGCUUGAGAAGGGUGAAGUCAGGGGAAACUCUGAUGGAGGCUCGUAGCGAUACUGACGUGCAAAUCGUUCGUCAUACUUGGGUAUAGGGGCGAAAGACUAAUCGAACCAUCUAGUAGCUGGUUCCC